ensembl:misc_RNA Metazoa_SRP Metazoan signal recognition particle RNA
GCUGGGCGCGGUGGCACGUGCCUGUAGUCCCAGCUACUCGGGAGGCUGAGGUGGGAAGAUCGCUUGAGCCCAGGAGUUCUGGGCUGUAGUGUACUAUGCCGAUCGGGUGUCCGCACUAAGUUCGGCAUCAAUAUGGUGACCUCCCGGGAGUGGGGGACCACCAGAUUGCCUAAGGAGGGGUGAACCGGCCCAGGGCAGAAACGGAGCAGGUCAAAACUCCCGUGCUGAUUGGUAGUGGGAUCGCACCUGUGAAUAGCCACUGCACUCCAGCCUGGGCAAUACAGUGAGACCCCGUCCCUA